UGGGUUGACCAGGCGGUCGCGUUGGACCGGUCGCAGUGCCUUGUGCACGGGCUCCGGUUCGCCGAGGAACGUCCGGGCUCCGCAGAGCAGGGUGGUGGGUAACGCCCACUCGGGGUAACCCGCAGGAAAGUGCCACAGAAAAUAGACCGCUGCGCCAGGCAGCAAUGUCUGGGGUAGUAAGGGUGAAAAGGUGGUGUAAGAGACCACCAGCGUGCCGGGUGACCGGUGCGGCUCGGUAAACCCCACCCGGAGCAAGGCCAGACAGGGCGCGUUUGAAGGCUGCUCGCCUGAGUGUCCGGGUAGGCCGCUGGAGGGCGUCGGCAACGGCGUUCGUAGAUGGAUGGCCGCCGCUUCUUCGCCGGCGACGGCAGGAAGCACAGAACCCGGCGUAUCGGUCAACCCAUCCC
rnacentral:RNase_P_RNA from 1 species